GUUGAGCCCCUGCGCCUGCGUCCGGGCUUCAGGGAGUCCCGGCAUGCCCCGCGGCAGCUUCUGGGUCAGCGCGCAGGGAAAAGGUGGCGUGGCCGGGAGCAGGGCCCGGGGUGAGCGGCAGGACUGUGAGGCAGGAGCUGACGAUAGGCAAAGCCGAGGAUUUGCGUGUGAUGAGGUCAGCGGUGAAAUGGGCACGCUCCAACCCAGGGUCCCUGGAGUCCCCCGCUGUUCCCACACUGGCUCAAAAGGCACCGCCCUCACGGCAGAGGCCCAGAAGAGGUGGCAAGAGGAAAGGCAAGUGGGGCAAGGAGGCGGAGAGGCCCAGCUCAGUUUUGGCUCUGGCCACCCAUCGGGCUCCUUAAACUGAGGAACCACAGCAGGUGAGUGGGAAGCAGGGCAUCUGUGGGCUUUGGCCUGCUUCUCUGGGUGUGAGAAGACUGGGUCCUCUGUAUGGGAAUGGUCAGCAGUCCUUGCAAAAAGAAUCCUGUCCGUUAGGAAAUGAGGUCAGUGGUUAAGAUGUUUCAGUGAGGGAUAUAGGAACCAUGUGGAGAGUCCCAGUAUUUCCUAUACAGGGGGGAACAGCGGCUUCUUCAUGGUCUUAGGAGGGGCUGAGCCAAACCAGGAGGGUCAUCUACACCUGAGAGCAGAUCUGUAGCCUUGGAGGUGUUAUCUCGCGUACACUUACUUCAAAUUCAUUCUCUUGUGGGAGUGCGGCGAUCAGGCCGUGUUAGUCCGUGCAGGUGGGCAGUAAGGUGUCAGACGUAGGAAGUGAAAGGAAGGAAGGGAAAGAGCCGCUCCAUGUGGGGUUGGGGGAACAUAGGGAGGAGGUUGGAUUAAUGACAACUCGGAAGACAGGCCCUGCCGAGCUGGGUCACAUCGUGGGGGUGUUGGAGUUAGGUGGUGCUGCCCACUGAUGCUGGUACUUUGGAGGCAUCUCAUGAGGAGAUUCUGGAAGAAACAGUGUCUGCUCCACUGACUGCUUUGUGUCUGGCUGCUACAUAACCUGGUAUGUUAUAGGGAAUCGGAUGUUUCCCGAAUGAAUGAAUAAAUGAAUGUAUUCUCCACUUCUUAUGGUCUCCUCCAGACUGUGUGGGGUAGCUGACAGGCCAGGGUCUGGAACUCUCGCACAGUCUUCCUUUCUGUGCCCGGCGGACUGGAGCAUGAGACCGUUGGAGGGAGGAGGUGACCUCUACCUCUGACAAUUCAAGGAGUCAGCAGUUGCCCCCGAUGCUUUGGCCCCAGCACACCCUGCAGUGGGAGGAGCCUGUGAGGCCUCACUGGGCCCUCCACCAUUGUUUCCAUGGACCUUAACUACUUUCCUCCUUAACCAGACCCAAGUUGAGUGGGCCGCUAAAGCUCCUCUGUGAACGAUCCGCCUCGGCCUGUCUCCCCCUCCCCACCAUGCAUCUCUGGUCAAGUCCAACGGGUCACACCGAAGCCCAUCUCUUUGCCUUCACCCAGGCUCUCAGAAGACGUUUUGGUUUUUUCCUUCCAGAGCGAAGCCUGUGACUCUGGAAACUGUCCUGCGUGGCCUGUCGCAAGGGCCAUGCUCGAGGACAGUGUGUGCAGGACAUGUGGGGUGCCCAGGCCAGGCUCAACUGGAGGGAGCAUGACGUACAUUCUUACGUGUUGCUUUCCUCAUCCUUGUUCACUAAAAUUAAAAAUACAUGUCAGCUUU